rnacentral:lncRNA from 1 species
UCAAAACCCGGUGGUUUCUCCAGUGUACCAAAUUCACCCUCAGCAACCUGGUCAUUUUUCUUUAAAGGCUCUGCAUGUAUUUGUGAGUAUGCAUUAGUUCUAGAAUGGUGCAGAAGUUGGGUUGUGUUUUCAUCUUCAACAUAUAGAGGUUCUCCAAACAAAUUCAUCAUCAUGUUCUCUUCAUGAUUAUGAGAUUCUCGAGUGGUUGACACAUUUUUUCCAGAUGUGGAGCUAGUCCUCAACACAGGUUCCAGAUUCCUUAUGUUGUUGCCUUCAUGACUAUGAGAUUCUCCGUUGCCAUGUUUAAACAUUUUAGUUUCAAAACCCGGUGGUUUCUCCAAUGUACCAAAUUCACCCUCAGCAACCUGGUCAUUUUUCUUAAAUGGCUCUUCAUGUAUUUGUGAGUAUGCAUUAGUUCUAGAAUGAUGCGGAAGUUGGGUUGUGUUUUCAUCUUCAACAUAUAGAGGUUCUCCAAACAAAUUCCUCAUCAUGUUCUCUUCAUGAUUGUGAGAUUCUCGAGUGGUUAAUUCAGACACACUUUUUCCAGAUGAGGAGCUAGUCCUCAACACAGGUUCCUGAUUCCUUAUUAUGUUGCCUUUGUGACUAUGAGAUUCUCCAUUGGUGAAUUUAGGCAUAUUUUUUCCGGAUAAGGAACUAGUCCUCAACUCAGGUUGCCCAAGCAGUAUCUUUGAAGACUGAUCAUUCAUAUUACGCUCUUUG